UCGUGCUAGAUGGGGCGUUAGCGGUGCCCUGUAACCCGAAAUCCGCUCAUGCGGGGUUGAAAAUCCUUCAGGAGAGCCUUGAUCCAAGUUGACCCUCUGUCAUGUUUGGAGUUGACAUGGACCUCACGUAACAGGCGCUUACGAACCCCGUCAGGUCCGGGAGGAAGCAGCGGUAAGUAAGAAGGCCUGUGUCGUGAUGGUAUCUAUGUCCUUUCUCCGGGUGGCAAGGACGAUUCGGUCUCUGUUCGAAUAAGGAUGCACGG
rnacentral:SRP_RNA from 2 species